rnacentral:rRNA from 1 species
AGUGAACGCUGGCGGUAGGCCUAACACAUGCAAGUCGAACGGCAGCACAGUAAGAGCUUGCUCUUACGGGUGGCGAGUGGCGGACGGGUGAGGAGUACAUCGGAAUCUACUUUUUCGUGGGGGAUAACGUAGGGAAACUUACGCUAAUACCGCAUACGACCUACGGGUGAAAGCAGGGGAUCUUCGGACCUUGCGCGAUUGAAUGAGCAGAUGUCGGAUUAGCUAGUUGGCGGGGUAAAGGCCCACCAAGGCGACGAUCCGUAGCUGGUCUGAGAGGAUGAUCAGCCACACUGGAACUGAGACACGGUCCAGACUCCUACGGGAGGCAGCAGUGGGGAAUAUUGGACAAUGGGCGCAAGCCUGAUCCAGCCAUACCGCGUGGGUGAAGAAGGCCUUCGGGUUGUAAAGCCCUUUUGUUGGGAAAGAAAAGCAGCAGGUUAAUACCCCGCUGUUCUGACGGUACCCAAAGAAUAAGCACCGGCUAACUUCGUG